CCUACGGGAGGCAGCAGUGGGGAAUAUUGGACAAUGGGGGGAACCCUGAUCCAGCGACGCCGCGUGAGUGAAGAAGUAUCUCGGUAUGUAAAGCUCUAUCUGCAGGGAAGCAAGAAAUGACGGUACCUGACUAAGAAGCCCCGGCUAACUACGGGCCAGCAGCCGCGGUAAUACGUAGGGGGCAAGCGUUAUCCGGCAUUACUGGGUGUAAAGGGAGCGUAGGCGGCAAGGCAAGUCUGAAGUGAAAGCCGGGGGCCCAACCCCCGGACGGCUUUGGAAACUGUAUGGCUGGAGUGCAGGAGAGGUAAGUGGAAUUCCUAGUGUAGCGGUGAAAUGCGUAGAUAUUAGGAGGAACACCAGUGGCGAAGGCAGCAUACUGGACUGUAACUGACGUUGAGGCUCGAAAGCGUGGGGAGCAAACAGGAUUAGAUACCCUAGUAGUC
rnacentral:rRNA from 1 species